GAGGAGGAGGAGGAGGAAGAGGAGAUUUUGCUGACAGUUUUCGCCAUGCUCAGUUUCAAUAUUACAAUUAUUGAAAGUUGGUGAAAAUUUUCCCGAGAGACUGUUAGAGGGAAAUACAAUAUACUGUGUAUUGGGACUCACAAGUAAUAUAGGUGGAUCCAUAUGUUUGUGUCUUGAUAUCCAUUUCAGAGUAAAUGUAAAUAAUGUAUAUAUAAGAUCAGUAAGUCAUCAAAAUGUUUAUGUUAAAAUUUAUUACCAAAACAAAA
rnacentral:misc_RNA from 1 species